CGCUGGCGGCGUGCUUAAUACAUGCAAGUCAACUUGACUUUAGAUAGCGAUAUCGAAAGUAGGGUGGCGCACGGGUGCGUAACGCGUAGGUAAUCUGCCCUGAGGUCUGACAUAACCCGUCGAAAGGCGGGCUAACAUCAGAUGAUAUAUAGUCACGACAUCGUGGAAAUAUCAAAUCUUCGGAGCCUUGGGAUGAGCCUGCGUCUGAUUAGGUAGUUGGCGGAGUAAUAGCCCACCAAGCCUACGAUCAGUAGCUGGUCUGAGAGGAUGAUCAGCCACACUGGAACUGAGACACGGUCCAGACUCCUACGGGAGGCAGCAGUAAGGAAUAUUGCUCAAUGGGGGAAACCCUGAAGCAGCAACGCCGCGUGAAGGAUGAAAUACUUUUGUAUGUAAACUUCUGUAAGAUGGGAAAAAUAUUCUCCUCGGGAGAAUUGAUUGUACCAUCAGAGUAAGCCCCGGCUAACUACGUG
rnacentral:rRNA from 1 species